AACGAACGCUGGCGGCAGGCUUAACACAUGCAAGUCGAACGCAUCCUUCGGGGUGAGUGGCAGACGGGUGAGUAACGCGUGGGAACGUGCCCUUCAGUUCGGGAUAACCCAGGGAAACUUGGGCUAAUACCGGAUACGUGCGAGAGCAGAAAGAUUUAUCGCUGAAGGAUCGGCCAGCGUCUGAUUAGCUAGUUGGUGGGGUAAUGGCCCACCAAGGAGGCGAUCAGUAGCUGGUCUGUGAGGAGGUCCGGCCACAUUGGGACUGAGACAAGGCCCAAACUCCUACGCGAGGCGGCAGUGGGGAAUAUUGGACAAUGGGAGCAAGCCUGAUCCAGCCAUGCCGCGUGAGUGAUGAAGGCCUUAGGGUUGUAAAGCUCUUUCGUCCGGGACGAUAAUGAAGGUACCGGAAGAAGAAGCCCCGGCUAACUUCGUGCCAGCCGCCGCAGUAA
rnacentral:rRNA from 1 species